UCCCGGACCAGGGCUCGAACCUGUGUCCCCUGCAUUGGCAGGCAGAUUCUUAACCACUAUGCCACCAGGGAAAUCUUGACUUUCAUCCUUGGUCCCUUGAUUGUUCCUGCAAAGCAUGAGAAAUGUCCAAAAAGAUAGAAAGCCCAAAUCUAGAUCUUGCCUUCUCAACACUGGCUGCCCUUGAGGGAGCUGACUUUUCACUGUCCCUGCACCAGGCCCUAUUUGCCAAGGGAAAGAGAAGCUCUGGGUGGACCCCUCUCCUUCCUCCCUUGCAGGCUUUCAUGGUUUCAAAUAUCACCUCUUGACUCCAAAAUCUGGAUUUCCAAUCUCGACAGUCCAUGUAAUCAGUCUUCUACAGAAAAUGCACUGUUCACUCCACUUUUCUCUCUCCUUCUCUCGUGCUAAGACAUCUCUAUUACCAAAUGCCAAGACUGUGACAACAUCCUCUAAACUGGUCUCCCUCACUGUAGGGCCUUCUUCUAAGCCAUCCUUUAUCCUGGCAUUAGUUUUAAUUUUCUAAAGCAACACUUUGAACGUUGGCCUUUUCCUUGUGCCUCUGUGGUGCCUCUUUGAUGCCUCCAGGGUAAUGUGCUAACACUUGACCCUGGAAAUCAAGAUGCUUUGCAAUCUUGACCUUAUUUACUUGAUCGACUCAUCUUUCUCAUUACCAUCCAGGUACGGCAGCAACGAUCCGCUUUUACUGAAAAUCCUCAAGUUCCCCUGCGCUUCUCAGCCUCUCUUGCUGUUAGACUGGGCCCAGGUGGCUCAGUUCUGCCUGAGGAGAUGUGGGUAGAAAUAAGGUUUGUCGUUUCAAGGCUUGGCCUCGGCAGCCCCUACCUGGCUCUCCAGGUCUCUCUUCGGGUUUCGUGGUGUCUCCAGAGGCCACUUAUUUAGAAGGUUCAGCUACAAUAUGGUAGCACCUCCACCAGCCUGGGUCCCCGAGUGUCCAUGUGGAGUAGAGCCAAGGUGACCGUUGUUGGACGUGUAAUAUGAGUAAGAAAUAGGUUUGCUUUUGUGUUAAGCCUUUGAGAUUUUAGGCUUAGGUGGUUAGUAGACCUCUUGAUUCUAAGUUAAGAGGCAGGACCAGUCCUUUUUUCGGCCACGCCGCACAGCUUGUGGGAUCUUGAACUCCCUGACCAGGGAUCGAACCUGCGUCCCCUGAAUUGGAAGCAUGAAGUCCUAACUACUGGACCGCCAGGGCAGUCCCUACAGGUGGGAACACUCUUGAGCAGACCAAGAUGUGUGUGCACAUAUGGGGUCAAGGGUGCAUGGGGUGGGGAAAAGCUUCUUACACAGCUAAUAAGUGGCAGGGGUGGGAUUUGAACCCGGGUCUCACUCUACCAUCUGAGAGGCACACUGCUCUCGAGACACUGAAGACUCAAGUCUGCAGGGCUAGCCCACAGAACUACCCAAGUUUCCCGGAAUGUCUCCGGGGCCCUCAUUCAGUUCCCAUGUUGCUGACUCCCUUGCCUCAACUUACCGCCUUGUGCCUGGUUAGGUCUUUCUAGGCUCAGCGGUGGGUGUCACUUCUCCUGGGAAUGUUCCCGAAACUGAAGACAUGAGUCUUUUUCCUCUCACAGAACCCUGGAUAUGUAUCAUAGUAGAGUACUUCCUGUCUGCUAAUUAUCUACUUCCUGUGUUCGCUGAUAAAGUCACUCUGGGCAGCGUGGAGAUCCUACCCCUGUAUUCCCACUGCUUCCUUAAUUUGCCCAUCCUAAACCUUUGACACACAUUUGUUCAAUAAAUGAAUGAACACGUGUCCGAAUGACCACAUCUAGAAGAUGCCCCCCUGUUAUUAUGCUGUCUUGCAUUAGAAGAAAGGUGUGCUGAGUGAUUGAGAUUCUUUUUUUUUAUCAUGGUUACUUCAAAGGGUGGAAAUUUUCUCCUUUCCGUUACCUCUGGCUAUAACUUAUUGACAACUUCAGCCUAAAAUAGCACGUAGCAGCUUUUCACUGUGCCUGUUUGGGAACUUCCUGACGGCACAUUUCGGAAGGUGAAUGACUUGUAAAUGCCCCUUGCUCCAUGUCUUAAACAGGUGUCUGCUUUCUGCCAUCUUUUACGGUUAUUGAAGGCACUAAAGAUUUUAAACUAUUUUGCCUAUUUGACCUGAAUCUGAAAAUGAUGGCUUUCUCCCCCGGUUCUAAUUCUGACACUUGGAGUGACAGAAGAGGGAGCUCUGAGUUAGGUAAUCGUGGCCCACCUUUGGGGAAGCUUCUCCUUGCUCUAGGCCCGGAUGAUGGACGGCUUAGUAACUCUUGAGGAUGGAAACGAAUCUGCAAGGGAGCAAGGAUCCAUCAGUGUUGAGCACCUCGCCAGAGGACGGUCCUGGGUGUGAGGAGGCGACUGCCAGCAUGGGGAGAGAGACCUCAGAGCCCCCUCCUCCAGAGUAACGCCUGCACCUCCCAGGCGGUAGGUCCCCUUGCCAGUGGUGGUGAAUCUGUCCUCACUGGCAUCGCCCAUCCAGAAAAGGACAUUGUGCUGCAGAGGGAGGGUAAGUAGCAGUCUCUUGAGCCCCCUGGUCCGCACCCUAAGCCCUUCACCCGUGGAGGGUUUCCUUGGUUGUGCCCAACACAGGGAAAAUGGGCCGGGCCCCCUUGCUUCUCCCCUGUGGCAGAGUGCACGCCCUGAUCUGUGGCUGCCGGAGAGGCUGAUGGAAAGGGAAGGGGAGCCCUCAAACCAGGCGCAAGAUUCAACCGCUCCCAGCUCGUCCUUCUGAAAACCACCGGAUCCCAGGACCUUGAUGCAUGGCCGAAGGGCUGCAAGAAACUGAGACAGUGAGAACCACAGAAUUCAAGUUAUUCCCUGAAGGACGGAGCCUGGAUGGGAACUGCGGCCCAAUCCUCCUGCUAUCACAUCAACAGACCACAUCUACCAGCCGAAAUGUGGUCCCCUGGCCACACCCCAUUUUCAUCAUCUCACUGCUCCCUGACUUUCUUCUUCCAAAUGACAAGGGCUUUUAUUUUAUUUGGUCAUUUAUAGUUUUUACAAUAAUGCUAAAUUAACAUUCAGAAUUCUGACAAAGAAAAAAAAUAGCAGAUAAACCAAAAGCACAGCAUUUAUGUUAUGAUUUUUAUCACUAAUUAUUUUAUUAUCAUACUUAAACUAUUUCUUUAAACAUUAUUUUUAAAUUAUUACAUUACUUUAUUAUCAUUAAUUAGUUUUGAUUGGUGUAAAAUUUGCUUAACAUAAAUUUAACCAUUCUCAAGCGACUCAGUGGCAUUUGGUACAACCGCAAUGUUGUGCGACCAUCACCUCUAUGGAAUUCCAAGCCAUUUUCAUCAGCCCCAAAGGAGCCCCCAUACCCACUGGCAGUCCCCCUCCCCCCUUCCUUCCUCUCCUUGGCCUCUGGCAACUAUUAACCUGAUUUCUGUCCCUAUGGAUUUACCUAUAUUCGAUAUUUCAUACGAAUGGAAUCACACAAUAUGUGAUCUUUGUGCCUGACUUUUUCGUUAAUUAUUUUAAAGCACCGUUUUCUACUUUAAGAAGUAGAUAAAGUGGAAAACAUUAAACUUAGUAGGAUUAUUAAGUGUUCACUCCUUAGUAGACUUUCAUAUUCAAGGGUGUGGUGGUAUUUUAUUUAUUCUUUUAAAAUAAAUUUAUUUAUUUA